AAUCCAUUUUUUGGUAUCUUUUUAUAGAUUACAUUUAGUAUUCCGUUCGCGCUAGCUUCCAUAAUCUCUAGCAGCUCCGGUGCCGGUCAAGGUAUUUUUACCUCUCUUUUAUAAAUAUUAUUUAAAUCUUCUGUAAAAUACUAAUUAAAUGUGUGAAUACAAAAAGCUAAAUUAAAUCAGAGAUCGGUUUCCAAUUAUCUCUACUUUACGUUUGAAGAUUACAAUUUUUUUAUUACGUUUUUAUUAUUUAUAACGUUGUAAAUUUAUGGUGAUAUCUGUUAUCUACUAACUU
rnacentral:sRNA from 1 species